GAAAAGUUAGUUAAUCAUAACAUAAAAUUGUCAAUUUUAAAUUACUAAUCUAUUAGUACUUUUCA
rnacentral:tRNA from 1 species